GGAGUGGCGGAAUGGUAGACGCACAGGACUUAAAAUCCUGAGUUAGCAAUAACGUGAGGGUUCAAGUCCCUCUUCCAG
rnacentral:tRNA from 1 species